UACGGGGGGGGCAAGCGUUGUUCGGAAUUACUGGGCGUAAAGGGCUCGUAGGUGGCCAACUAAGUCAGACGUGAAAUCCCUCGGCUUAACCGGGGAACUGCGUCUGAUACUGGAUGGCUUGAAUCCGGGAGAGGGAUGCGGAAUUCCCGGUGUAGCGGUGAAAUGCGCAGAUAUCGGGAGGAACACCAAUGGCGAAGGCAGCUCGCUGGGACGGUACUGACGCUGAGACGCGAAAGCGUGGGGAGCAAACAGG
rnacentral:rRNA from 1 species